rnacentral:sRNA from 2 species
ACAUGACUCACGCAGGCAGGAGCGGGGGACCCAGGUAAGCCGCCGGUCCGGGCGUUCACGCCGGAGCGGCUAGGGGUGAAGUCGUGCGCCGACCGCGCGCCCGGCCGGGCAUCUCCCGCCCGAACCCGACAGCUCACCUCGCAGGCGCCGGAGAGGACUC